AUCCAGACUCCUACGGGAGGCAGCAGUGGGGAAUAUUGCACAAUGGGGGGAACCCUGAUGCAGCGACGCCGCGUGGGUGAAGGAGCACCUCGGUGCGUAAAGCCCUAUCGGCAGGGAAGAAAAGCGAACAGGUUCGCCUGGACGGUACCUGACUAAGAAGCCCCGGCUAACUACGUGCCAGCAGCCGCGGUAAUACGUAGGGGGCAAGCGUUAUCCGGAUUCACUGGGUGUAAAGGGAGCGUAGACGGCGACGCAAGUCUGGAGUGAAAGCCCGGGGCCCAACCCCGGGACUGCUCUGGAAACUGUAUAUCUAGAGUGUCGGAGAGGCAAGUGGAAUUCCUGGUGUAGCGGUGAAAUGCGUAGAUAUCAGGAGGAACACCAGUGGCGAAGGCGGCUUGCUGGACGAUGACUGACGUUGAGGCUCGAAAGCGUGGGGAGCAAACAGGAUUAGAUACCCUGGUAC
rnacentral:rRNA from 1 species